rnacentral:rRNA from 1 species
GAUGAACGCUGGCGGCGUGCCUAAUACAUGCAAGUCGAGCGAACGGACGAGAAGCUUGCUUUUCUGAUGUUAGCGGCGGACGGGUGAGUAACACGUGGAUAACCUACCUAUAAGACUGGGAUAACUUCGGGAAACCGGAGCUAAUACCGGAUAAUAUUUUGAACCGCAUGGUUCAAAAGUGAAAGACGGUCUUGCUGUCACUUAUAGAUGGAUCCGCGCUGCAUUAGCUAGUUGGUAAGGUAACGGCUUACCAAGGCAACGAUGCAUAGCCGACCUGAGAGGGUGAUCGGCCACACUGGAACUGAGACACGGUCCAGACUCCUACGGGAGGCAGCAGUAGGGAAUCUUCCGCAAUGGGCGAAAGCCUGACGGAGCAACGCCGCGUGAGUGAUGAAGGUCUUCGGAUCGUAAAACUCUGUUAUUAGGGAAGAACAUAUGCGUAAGUAACUGUGCACAUCUUGACGGUACCUAAUCAGAAAGCCACGGCUAACUACGUG